CCUACGGGUGACAGCAGUCGAGAAUCAUUCACAAUGGGGGAAACCCUGAUGGUGCGACGCCGCGUGGGGGAAUGAAGGUCUUCGGAUUGUAAACCCCUGUCAUGUGGGAGCAAAUUAAAAAGAUAGUACCACAAGAGGAAGAGACGGCUAACUCUGUGCGAGCAGCCGCGGUAAUACAGAGGUCUCAAGCGUUGUUCGGAAUCACUGGGCGUAAAGGGUGCGGAGGCUGUUUCGUAAGUCGUGUGUGAAAGGCGCGGGCUCAACCCGCGGACGGCACAUGAUACUGCGAGACUAGAGUAAUGGAGGGGGAACCGGAAUUCUCGGUGUAGCAGUGAAAUGCGUAGAUAUCGAGAGGAACACUCGUGGCGAAGGCGGGUUCCUGGACAUUAACUGACGCUGAGGCACGAAGGCCAGGGGAGCGAAAGGGAUUAGAUACCCUAGUAGUC
rnacentral:rRNA from 1 species